UAAAUAGUCAGGCUGGCUUUUGCUGGUCGCAGACUUCUUAGAGGGACUGUCAGUGUCUAACUGACGGAAGUUUGAGGCAAUAACAGGUCUGUGAUGCCCUUAGAUGUUCUGGGCCGCACG
rnacentral:rRNA from 1 species